rnacentral:rRNA from 1 species
AGCGAACGCUGGCGGCAGGCUUAACACAUGCAAGUCGAGCGCCGUUGCAAUACGGAGCGGCGGACGGGUGAGUAACGCGUGGGAACGUGCCUUCUGGUUCGGAAUAACUCAGGGAAACUUGAGCUAAUACCGGAUAAGCCCUUCGGGGGAAAGAUUUAUCGCCGGAAGAUCGGCCCGCGUAAGAUUAGCUAGUUGGUGAGGUAAUGGCUCACCAAGGCUACGAUCUUUAGCUGGUCUGAGAGGAUGAUCAGCCACACUGGGACUGAGACACGGCCCAGACUCCUACGGGAGGCAGCAGUGGGGAAUAUUGGACAAUGGGCGCAAGCCUGAUCCAGCUAUGCCGCGUGAGUGAUGAAGGCCUUAGGGUUGUAAAGCUCUUUUAGCAGGGACGAUAAUGACGGUACCUGCAGAAAAAGCCCCGGCCAACUUCGUGCCAGCCGCCGCAGUAA